rnacentral:rRNA from 1 species
GACGAACGCUGGCGGCAGGCUUAACACAUGCAAGUCGAGCGCCCCGCAAGGGGAGCGGCAGACGGGUGAGUAACGCGUGGGAAUCUACCCAUCCCUACGGAAUAGCUCCGGGAAACUGGAAUUAAUACCGUAUACGCCCUACGGGGGAAAGAUUAUCGGGGAUGGAUGAGCCCGCGUUGGAUUAGCUAGUUGGUGGGGUAAAGGCCUACCAAGGCGACGAUCCAUAGCUGGUCUGAGAGGAUGAUCAGCCACAUUGGGACUGAGACACGGCCCAAACUCCUACGGGAGGCAGCAGUGGGGAAUAUUGGACAAUGGGGGCAACCCUGAUCCAGCCAUGCCGCGUGAGUGAUGAAGGCCUUAGGGUUGUAAAGCUCUUUCACCGGGGAAGAUAAUGACGGUACCCGGAGAAGAAGCCCCGGCUAACUUCGUGCCAGCCGCCGCAGUAA